UAAACUAGGAUUAGAAACCCUAUUAUUCUUAUAAUUUUUUAUCUAAAGAUUAACUAUGGUUUGUGGCGGCUCCUUUUCAAAUUAGAGAUCCAUGGACCUGAUGGACAGCCCACCUAAAUCUUGCUUUACUUAGUUUGAGACAUUCUUUAUAUCGCCGACUGAAAAGAAAAUCAUAAAUUUCUAUUUUGUCAGUUUUAAUCUAUUAAGUCAGGUAAAGAUGAAGAUUAUGGUAAAGAAAAUUUGUGGAUCAAAAAUCUUUAUGAAUCAACCUGUUGUAAUGCUUUUUAAAUGAAUUUAAAAGUAAAACUAUUUAAUUAAAAUAAUUUGAACAUUGUAAAAAGGAGUGUACAUACCGCCCGUCACUUCCCCAAAGGAAUAAGUCGUAACAUGGUUA
rnacentral:rRNA from 1 species